rnacentral:rRNA from 1 species
GACGAACGCUGGCGGCGUGCCUAACACAUGCAAGUCGAACGGAGUAAACCGCUGAAUUGAUGGUAGCUUGCUACUGGAUUUUCUUGUUUUACUUAGUGGCGGACGGGUGAGUAACGCGUGAGUAACCUGCCUUACAGAGGGGGACAACAGUUGGAAACGAACGCUAAUACCGCAUGAUAUAACGUAAUCGCAUGAUUGUGUUAUCAAAGGAGCAAUCCGCUGAAAGAUGGGCUCGCGUCCGAUUAGGUAGUUGGUGGGGUAACGGCCUACCAAGCCGACGAUCGGUAGCCGGACUGAGAGGUUGAACGGCCACAUUGGGACUGAGACACGGCCCAGACUCCUACGGGAGGCAGCAGUGGGGAAUAUUGGGGCAAUGGGGGGAAACCCUGACCCAGCAACGCCGCGUGAAGGAAGAAGGGCCUUCGGAUUGUAAACUAGUUGUCGCAAGGAAGAAGACAGUGACGGUACCUUGUGAGAAAGCCACGGCGUAACUACGUGCCAGCA